rnacentral:rRNA from 1 species
AUACGGAGGGUGCAAGCGUUACUCGGAAUCACUGGGCGUAAAGGACGCGUAGGCGGGUUGGCAAGUCAGAUGUGAAAUCCUACAGCUUAACUGUAGAACUGCAUUUGAAACUGCUAACCUAGAGUAUGGGAGGGGGAGAUGGAAUUAGUGGUGUAGGGGUAAAAUCCGUAGAUAUCACUAGGAAUACCGAAAGCGAAGGCGAUCUCCUGGAACAUAACUGACGCUAAGGCGUGAAAGCGUGGGGAGCAAACAGGAUUAGAAACCCGAGUAGUCC